GAUUUCAACUGAAAAAGUCAUCAAUAACAAAGUCGUAUAACUCAUCAAGGUCUAUAACUUAUAUUUUGGUUAUUUCUUCGUCCGACGAAGUAAUUUGUAACAUUAUUCACAAAAUGUACAAAAUCUCUUGUAUAGUUCUAUGAACUAUAAGAGAGAGAUGUAAAUUUUGUGAAAAAUAUUACUAUCACUUUGUCGGAUGAAGAAAUGACCAAAAUAGAAGUUAUAGAUCUUGAUGAGUUAUACAACUUUGUUGUUAAUGACUUUGUCAGCUGAAGUC
rnacentral:pre_miRNA from 1 species